rnacentral:lncRNA from 1 species
AGCUGAACCCCGUUCGGGGACACCGAGGCUGAAGAGAAGCAGCUGAAGAGACCUCUCAGCAGCAGCCGCAGCCAGAGGCCGUAUAUUGCUCCUGCCUGCUCUCCCACUGGAUCCCCUGACCUCUAGACUGCGAUCCUCCUUUUCAGCUACAGGUAAAGUAUGUUCAGCGCAGCAGAAGAGGAGGCAACUCGGCCACAGAGCAAACCCGCCAGCCCGUCGCGCCGCCGGUGCCUUUAAGGGACGUCGGAGCUGCAGAAAUCGCCACAGGAGGUUUGCAGGUGCUGUAAGGUGAAAGCGGGGAGGGGGAGCUGCCCUUAAAAACUCCUCCGGACGAGGUCGGCACUCGCCCGUGCUGCGCUCUUCUGGACGCCCACGGCGACGCAGGUCGUAGCCGGAGCCUCUCAUCUUUGCGGCGGGCUCGCACCGCGCCUUCUCGGGCUGCGCUCCUUCCUCUGC